rnacentral:rRNA from 1 species
UACGUAGGGGGCUAGCGUUAUCCGGAAUUACUGGGCGUAAAGGGUGCGUAGGUGGUUUCUUAAGUCAGAGGUGAAAGGCUACGGCUCAACCGUAGUAAGCCUUUGAAACUGAGAAACUUGAGUGCAGGAGAGGAGAGUAGAAUUCCUAGUGUAGCGGUGAAAUGCGUAGAUAUUAGGAGGAAUACCAGUUGACGAAGGCGACUAUCUGGGCCAAUACUGACGCUGAAGUGCGAAAGCGUGGGGAGCAAACAGG